rnacentral:tRNA from 1 species
GUUUUUAUAGUUUAAAUUUAAAACAUUGGUCUUGUAAAUCAAAAACAAAAAAAAUUUUUUAAAAACA